rnacentral:rRNA from 1 species
UAAGACGAACCGUGCGAACGUUAUUCGGAAUCAUUGGGCUUAAAGGGCGCGUAGGCGGCUUUGUAAGUUGAAGGUGAAAUACCAGCGGCUCAACCGUGGAAUGGCCUUCGAAACUGCAAUGGCUUGAGGGAGCUAGGGGCAUGUGGAACUUCCGGUGGAGCGGUGAAAUGUGUUGAUAUCGGAGGGAACGCCAGUGGCGAAAGCGGCAUGCUGGAGCUUUUUCUGACGCUGAGGCGCGAAAGCCAGGGGAGCGAACGGGAUUAGAUACCCCGGUAGUCCUGGCCCUAAACGAUGGGUACUGAGUAGGAAGGGCUCCGAUGGCCCCUCCUGCUGGAGCAAAAGUGUUAAGUACCCCGCCUGGGGAGUAUGGUCGCAAGGCUG